GAUUCCAAGUGAUACAAGGUUUUCUUGAUUCUUGAGCCAGAUAGCUUUCAGAAUAGAAUUUCCACCUUCUGCUCCUGGUUCUCCAGUUUGCCGUUGCAGGUCUUGGGAUUUGCCAGCCUCUAUGAUCAAUCAGGCCAGGUGAUGAUGAGACACUGUCAGAAGAGAAGUCCGUCCUCUAUUUGAAACAUAGAUAUGGCUGCCUGGCAGGAGGCUUUUUCAAGGGGCUGCGCUGAGCAUAGCAGGAUGUUCAUGCUGGAGACUGAGGAGGCUCACUGCAAACCUAUAGCUCAUAAGGGCUGCAGCAUGACCUUUGUGGGCUUUAGCCACUUUUGCCUGCAUAUGUCUCUUCCUCCACUAAAAAUUAAUUAAUUAAUAAAAG